UGAAAUAAGUGGACAUAGAGCAGUAAA
rnacentral:sRNA from 1 species